rnacentral:rRNA from 1 species
AUUGAACGCUGGCGGCAUGCCUUACACAUGCAAGUCGAACGGCAGCACGGGAGCAAUCCUGGUGGCGAGUGGCGAACGGGUGAGUAAUAUAUCGGAACGUGCCCAAGUCGUGGGGGAUAACGUAGCGAAAGCUACGCUAAUACCGCAUACGAUCUAUGGAUGAAAGCGGGGGAUCGCAAGACCUCGCGCGAUUGGAGCGGCCGAUAUCAGAUUAGGUAGUUGGUGGGGUAAAAGCCUACCAAGCCUUCGAUCUGUAGCUGGUCUGAGAGGACGACCAGCCACACUGGAACUGAGACACGGUCCAGACUCCUACGGGAGGCAGCAGUGGGGAAUUUUGGACAAUGGGCGCAAGCCUGAUCCAGCAAUGCCGCGUGCAGGAUGAAGGCCUUCGGGUUGUAAACUGCUUUUGUACGGAACGAAACGGUUCUCUCUAAUAAAGAGGGCUAAUGACGGUACCGUAAGAAUAAGCACCGGCUAACUACGUG